UACGAAGGGGGCUAGCGUUGCUCGGAAUUACUGGGCGUAAAGCGCACGUAGGCGGCUUUGUAAGUUAGAGGUGAAAGCCCAGGGCUUAACCCUGGAAUUGCCUUUAAGACUGCAUCGCUAGAAUCGUGGAGAGGUGAGUGGAAUUCCGAGUGUAGAGGUGAAAUUCGUAGAUAUUCGGAAGAACACCAGUGGCGAAGGCGGCUCACUGGACCGGUAUUGACGCUGAGGUGCGAAAAGCGUGGGGGAGCAAACAGG
rnacentral:rRNA from 1 species